UACAGAGGUCUCAAGCGUUGUUCGGAUUCAUUGGGCGUAAAGGGUGCGUAGGUGGCGGGGUAAGUUGGAUGUGAAAUCUCGGAGCUCAACUCCGAAACUGCAUUCAACACUGCCUUGCUAGAGUACUGGAGAGGAGAUUGGAAUUUAUGGUGUAGCAGUGAAAUGCGUAGAUAUCGUAAGGAAGACCAGUGGCGAAGGCGGAUCUCUGGACAGUUACUGACACUGAGGCACGAAGGCCAGGGGAGCAAACGGG
rnacentral:rRNA from 1 species